UCCGAGUUGACCCCGGCAGUCUCCCACGAGUCCCCGCCAUUACGCGCUGGCAACAUAGGAUAAGGGUUGCGCUCGUUGCGGGACUUAACCCAACAUCUCACGACACGAGCUGACGACAGCCAUGCAGCACCUGUGUUCGAGUUCCCGAAGGCACCAAUCCAUCUCUGGAAAGUUCUCGACAUGUCAAGGCCAGGUAAGGUUCUUCGCGUUGCAUCGAAUUAAUCCACAUGCUCCGCCGCUUGCGCGGGCCCCCGUCAAUUCCUUUGAGUUUUAGCCUUGCGGCCGUACUCCCCAGGCGGGGCGCUUAAUGCGUUAGCUUAGGCACUGCCCCAUAGAGCGGGGCAACGCCGAGCAUCCAUCGUUUACGGCAUGGACUAC
rnacentral:misc_RNA from 1 species